UUGCUUCCUCCAAUUUCCGCGCUCCAUGUGCGUCGCGUGUUGUACCUAACUUCUAAAAUUCUAAACAAGAAACUGAAAAACACAAGAAAAUAAAUCCCUUUUACAAUUUCCUGCCAGAAUUUCAUAUUCCCGCGCUCUUUUUUUUUCACGUCGAAUCUCAACUGGAAUGAGCAUUCUUGUCACCAGAUUCAUGUUAUUUUGACAGGUUUGAUGGAAGGGAAAAAAGUAAGCUUUGAUAUUCCUAGGAGUGAAGAAAUGGAAAACUGAAGGUUCUUGAUCCAGCCUUUUCUGCCUUUUUUGUUCAGCUUUCCAAAACCAACUUCAAAAUUGUCUUAAGUCACGGAUCAAGAGAUUAGCAAAAGAUAAUGAGAAACAAACUCGGUUAACUCUUCUCUUGGGAAGAAGGGUUUAUCUGCCGGAUUGGGAUUGAACUGGAGAAGCAAUUGCAAGAUUGGAGAAAAAUCCUACAUGGGUCAAUCAACCCCCAGAAAUUAAGUAAAGAUUAUUGAGGAAAUUGUGGUUUCAUUAUCAAGAGAUUGUAGUCUCACCUUUGUCUCAAACAUGUUGUCUAUCUAGCAUACUAUGCUGCUUUCACUCUUCAUUUUUCUCGAAGUACCCGUCUUAGACAUGUGUUUGAAAACAAUUAUGGACGUUGAUACAAGGAUAUAACCCCCAAAUAGAGGGACAAACAUAGAGAAACUGAACAUACCCACGUCAAACACAUGCUCAUGUCUGACACACCCAAGUUCGAAUAACGAGCUAUAUAGAAUGUGUUUUUGUAACCUAGAGGACACUUUCAUAGUACUAUUUUUUUUCCACAUAGGCAACACCGAAGAAAA